rfam:Brassica napus, WGS project CCCW01000000 data, contig: 8492
GCUAGAUUUAGUGCCCAUCCUUGUCUUUUCAAAGUUGUCUCCUUUUUUUUUUAUAUUAAGGACAUUACUGUUUUACUUGGUGGCAGAAACUU